GAUUCAGUAGAAGUCCGGAGUGCAAAUUCGGAUAUGGUUUUAAAGACCCUGGAUUU
rnacentral:tRNA from 1 species